rnacentral:rRNA from 1 species
UACGGGGGGAGCAAGCGUUGUUCGGAUUUAUUGGGCGUAAAGAGCGUGUAGGCGGCCAUGUAGGUCCGUUGUGAAAACUCGAGGCUCAACCUCGAGACGCCGAUGGAAACCAUGUGGCUAGAGUCCGGAAGAGGAGAGUGGAAUUCCUGGUGUAGCGGUGAAAUGCGCAGAUAUCAGGAAGAACACCCGUGGCUAAGGCGGCUCUCUAGUACGGUACUGACGCUGAGACGCGAAAGCGUGGGGAGCGAACAGG